UACCAGACUCCUACGGGAGGCAGCAGUGAGGAAUAUUGGUCAAUGGGCGCGAGCCUGAACCAGCCAAGUCGCGUGAGGGAAGACGGUCCUAUGGAUUGUAAACCUCUUUUGUCGGGGAGCAAAAGACGCCACGCGUGGCGUUCCGAGAGUACCCGAAGAAAAAGCAUCGGCUAACUCCGUGCCAGCAGCCGCGGUAAUACGGAGGAUGCGAGCGUUAUCCGGAUUUAUUGGGUUUAAAGGGUGCGUAGGCGGAAUGCCAAGUCAGCGGUAAAAUCGCGGGGCUCAACCUCGCUCCGCCGUUGAAACUGGCGUUCUAGAGUGUGCGAGAGGUAUGCGGAAUGCGUGGUGUAGCGGUGAAAUGCAUAGAUAUCACGCAGAACCCCGAUUGCGAAGGCAGCGUACCGGUGCACAACUGACGCUCAGGCACGAAAGCGUGGGUAUUGAACAGGAUUAGAUACCCGAGUAU
rnacentral:rRNA from 1 species